GCGCUCGUAGCUCAACUGGAUAGAGUAUUGGCCUCCGAAGCCAAAUGUUGGGUGUUCAAAUCACCUCGAGUGCACCA
rnacentral:tRNA from 1 species